UGGGGAAUAUUGGACAAUGGGCGAAAGCCUGAUCCAGCCAUGCCGCGUGAGUGAUGAAGGCCCUAGGGUUGUAAAGCUCUUUCAACGGUGAAGAUAAUGACGGUAACCGUAGAAGAAGCCCCGGCUAACUUCGUGCCAGCAGCCGCGGUAAUACGAAGGGGGCUAGCGUUGUUCGGAAUUACUGGGCGUAAAGCGCACGUAGGCGGCCUUUCAAGUCGGACGUGAAAGCCCCGGGCUUAACCCGGGAAUUGCGUUUGAUACUGUUGGGCUUGAGACCGGGAGAGGAUAGCGGAAUUCCCAGUGUAGAGGUGAAAUUCGUAGAUAUUGGGAAGAACACCAGUGGCGAAGGCGGCUAUCUGGACCGGUACUGACGCUGAGGUGCGAAAGCGUGGGGAGCAAAC
rnacentral:rRNA from 1 species